CCUUGCUGGGCGCAAAUUGGCUGCCUCAUUUACCUACAUGACAACAGUGAUCUAAAAGGAAGAAUUUUAAAAAGAUCAGACGAAAGGUGAUCAAGACACUUUAUGCAAGGCGGACUGAACCGUGCUGACACAGCACCCAUUCUUGUAAUGCAGUAUACAGUAUAAAUUAUAAUAUGCAAUUAAAAAAUGUUACAGAAAAAGAAUUUGGAAUACAAAGUUAUUACUAAAUAAACACAUUGAAACUGGC